GGGAAGAAACCUACUGAGCAUUCAAAAGGAUUCCAGGCCCUUUCUCAUACAGACAGCACCACGGUGCUACAUUCAGGCACAUCUGAGGUGCAAGCCCCUGGGGUGUUGGGUAAUGAAAAGGAAGAUAGUGGUAGCUGGAGUCCAAGCAGGCUCCACCACUGAAAACCCUGAAUUGAUGUACCUCGAAGAGAUAUUGAUGCCAAAAAGAAAAGAGAAGUGUGUUUGCUCCUACCUCCAAAACAGAAACUCAGAGCCUUUGUUUUCUGCUAAAGAAGGCUGGAAGCUUGCUGGUCAAGGACAGAAUUCUGAGCUUUCAAGUGCUGCAUCCAUUGAUUUAUCGCCCAGCAUUGUCUUCACACGUGAUUCCAAGAACAUCCUAAAACUUAGGGGGUGAGCCCAGAGGCAGAUAGAUGCAAGGAGGAAGUGUGCUAUCUAUCUGAUGACUGUGGAAAACCUGACGAGGCACAUAAAUUGCUGGGAAGGGCAAGGGGCCCAGAAUCCCAAAGCUAAUCCAAAGAGUAUUACGGCCAGACUUUCCCAUCAACUUCAACAGUUGGGAAAUAUAAAAUAGGGACUUUUUCCAAACAUAGGAUGGAAAACUUCCUCAAAGGCAGCACUGGGGAGUCCUUCUAAGUCAUAGUAGAGGGAAGGAGGGAAAGGGACCCAAAUGCCCAGGAAAUGAGUUCUCCAGAAAAUAGAGAUGUGGGUCUUAGGCCAUCCAGGAGCCGUGGAAGGCAAGGGGUGUGGUGGUAAUGGUGGUUCUAUAAGGAUAUAGCUGAGAAAACAAAGAACUCCAUGAGUCUCAGAAACAAGGCGGAGAAAAUUUUCUCAAAAAUACAAAGAAUGCCAGAAUCUCUGAACACAAUAAGAGAGGAAAAAAAAAAAAGCCAGGUCUAGAAUGCAUGUUUAUGAAGAUUUGAUUCACUAUUCACAUCUACACAAUAUCAGAGAGACCAGUUCUCAACCAUUUGUACGAUUGUCCUUAAUAUGAGGUUGUGGUAAUGGUAACAUAUGUCGUCAUGGAACACAGAUCAGAACCAGGCGCAGAAGGUGACUAGCAGCCUGCACAGACCACAGACCACGACUGUAGAGAGAAAGUUAAGAUCUUGGAUAAGGACUCCUCCAUAUUUCAUGCUGAGAAAUAUCUUUGUGUUCUGCUGAGAACUAACUUCAAGAUAACAAAUGUUAAUUAUAUUUUCAUCUAAUGUUCAUAUUGUUGAGCACACAAUUACUUGACUAACAAAUAUUUUCAUAAUCAGGUUCAUUUUCCCUCCUCACUGAACACUUAGGGUCAUCUACACAAAAACCCUGUUUUCUAAGCACAAUACAAGGGCUUGUUGGAAGAAUGUCUGAAACCAUGUGGCUGUGACCAGUGUCUAUGGUGUGGGCAUAGC
rnacentral:lncRNA from 1 species